rnacentral:rRNA from 1 species
UACGUAGGUGACAAGCGUUGUCCGGAUUUACUGGGCGUAAAGAGCGCGUAGGCGGCCAACUAAGUCAGACGUGAAAUCCCUCGGCUUAACCGGGGAACUGCGUCUGAUACUGGAUGGCUUGAGUUUGGGAGAGGGAUGCGGAAUUCCAGGUGUAGCGGUGAAAUGCGUAGAUAUCUGGAGGAACACCGGUGGCGAAGGCGGCAUCCUGGACCAACACUGACGCUGAGGAGCGAAAGCCAGGGGAGCAAACGGG